AUCCAGAUGACGCGAAUCCCAAAUAGGACGAAAUGCGCAUCAGGGAU
rnacentral:hammerhead_ribozyme from 1 species